GACGAACGCUGGCGGCGUGCCUAAUACAUGCAAGUAGAACGCUGAAGGAGGAGCUUGCUUCUCUGGAUGAGUUGCGAACGGGUGAGUAACGCGUAGGUAACCUGCCUGGUAGCGGGGGAUAACUAUUGGAAACGAUAGCUAAUACCGCAUAAGAGUAGAUGUUGCAUGACAUUUGCUUAAAAGGUGCAAUUGCAUCACUACCAGAUGGACCUGCGUUGUAUUAGCUAGUUGGUGGGGUAACGGCUCACCAAGGCGACGAUACAUAGCCGACCUGAGAGGGGGAUCGGCCACACUGGGACUGAGACACGGCCCAGACUCCUACGGGAGGCAGCAGUAGGGAAUCUUCGGCAAUGGACGGAAGUCUGACCGAGCAACGCCGCGUGAGUGAAGAAGGUUUUCGGAUCGUAAAGCUCUGUUGUAAGAGAAGAACGAGGGUGAGAGUGGAAAGUUCACACUGUGACGGUAUCUUACCAGAAAGGGACGGCUAACUACGUG
rnacentral:rRNA from 1 species